AAGGCCGAAAAGCAGCAGCCCGAAGCUCCCCGCGUUGAUCCGGGCAGUGCCCGAGCCGAGAGCGUUGCGCAAGGGGUCCGGAGCGCCAGCCC
rnacentral:SRP_RNA from 13 species